rnacentral:rRNA from 1 species
AUGCUUCCUUCGUCGACUGGUCCUGCUGCUGCCGCGGCCUACACACAGCCGCAGCUGCGGCAGAUGAGAGCGCAGUGCAUCGUCUUCCUUGCCUUCAAGAAUCAGAUGGAGCCCAGGAAGCGGCACCUCGAGAUCGCGCUCGGUGAGGAUGACAUCGACGGAGCCGGCUGGCACGGCGAGACGACGACGAGCGAGCCUUCUCAAGCAUCGUCGUCCUCUGCCGCACCGUUGCCGCUGCCACACCUCCUGCCCGUCUCCUCGCUGCGGCUGUCUCCGCCGGUGACGGAGCAGGAGCAGGAGAAUCUCCACCGCAACGACGACCCUGAAGCAGAACAUGAGUAA